GUCUAUAUGAAGGUGUAUAUAGUUUGGCCUGCUCACUGAUUAAAUUAAAGAGCCGCAGUAUUUUGACUGUGCGAAGGUAGCAUAAUAAAUUGUCUUUUAAAUAAAGGCUUGAAUGAAAGGUUGGACAAAGUAUCAUCUGUUUCUUAAAUAUUUAUUGAAUUUGACUUUUAAGUGAAAAGGCUUAAAUAAAUCAAAAAGACGAUAAGACCCUAUAAAUCUUUACAAUAAAUAUAUUUUAUAUUUUAGUUUAUAAGUGAAUGAGAUAUAAAAAUAUAGGUUUGUUGCGCUGGGGCGGCGUAGAUAUAUAAAUAAACUGUCUAUAGUUUAAAUACAAUAAUCAUUGCUUAAUAUAAAUUGAUCCUUAAAUAGAUUAAAAGAUUAAGAUACUUUAGGGAUAACAGCGUUAUUUUUUUUGAGAGUUCUUAUCGAAGAAAAAGUUUGCGACCUCGAUGUUGAAUUAAAGUUUCUCUGUGGUGUAGCCGCUAUAAGAGAGAGUCUGUUCGACUUUUAAUACUUU
rnacentral:rRNA from 1 species